AUGACACCGAGAGGUAACGUUUUGAUUACAAGAGUUUCUGAACUCAUUGAUGCUGAAAAUAGGACGUGGGAUGAACAGUUAUUAAAUGAUAUAUUUUGGCCUAUUGAUGUGCAACGAAUUAUGAAUAUCCCUUUGGCAGUGGGUAUGAUGGAUGAUUUUGUCUCAUGGCACUUUAACAGAAGUGGGAUUUUUUCUGUUAGAUCGGCUUACCAUGAAGAAUGGGAGCACCAGCACGGACGAAAGUUGAGAAUGACAAACUCAGUUCAAGCCUCAAGUACUAGUCCAGUCUGGAGAACCAUUUGGAAAUUGCGUGUGCCGGCAAAAAUAAAAAUCCAUGCGUGGAGAGCUUUGCUUGGAGCCAUUCCCUGUUACGGAGUCCUUGUGAAUAGGCAUAUGAUAACUAGUUCCCAAUGCCCGCUUUGUACAUCUGACUGUGAGAGCAUUAGGCACGCUUUGUUUCUGUGCCCGAGAGUGCAAGAAAUAUGGCGAAUUCUAGGUCUGGGACCCUUGAUCAAUGAGGUAUGUUCAUCUGAAAGGGAAGGGUGUUCUGUGCUGACGGAUGUGCUACUGUCCAGGAAUCAAUUUCAGUCGUUGAUGGCUGAUGUUAACCGCAAUGAUCUACUGGCCAUAGGUGUCUGGUAUGUGUGGUGGGAGCGUCGCCAGUUCACUCAUGGUGAGCUCCUUUUUGAGCCAACGAGAUCAGCACAAGCAAUUUUAGCUUUGGCAAAAAACUUCACACGGGCACAAUCCAAAAAUACGAGAAUCAAGAGACAUGGAUGGAAUAAGCCGCCGGAUGGUCUAGUUAAACUCAAUGUUGAUGCUACGUUUGAUCAAGACAGAGGUACUGGGAGUACGGGUGCAAUUUUACGUGAUGACACAGGUUUUUUCUUGGCUGCAUCUUGUGUUGAUAUUCCGUUCGUGGAAGAUGUGGGACAGUAG
rnacentral:rRNA from 1 species